CCUCCCAUUUUCCCACUCUCCCGCCAUCCCCCGCCUCAAAAAAAGGUCCCACUGCUUCCCCUCUCCCUCCCACACCAACACCUUUUCCUGUCCAAGAUCAGUCAUCAUCCCCAUUGUUCUCUCUCCCUCUCCCUUUCUCUUCUCAUCUCCCUCCCAAACCCAAGCCCAAACCCUAAAGAAUCUCGAAUAGGGUCCACUGGUCUCUCGGAUUUUGUUUUUCCUCAUCCGAUCCCGUUUAUAUCUAUAUAGAUUGAGAUUGUGGUGUUGGGGGGCAAGGAAAAAAGAAAAGAAAGCAGGCGGUCGUCAUCAUGCCGUCCGGGGCGAAGAAGAGGAAAGCAGCCAAGCGCAAGAAGGAGAAGGAGGAGAAGGGGAAGGAGAAAAAGGAGGAGACGGGCAGCAUCCCCCAUCCACCCGUUUCCCCAUCUAAUGACCCUCUUCCCUCCCCUCCACCUCAACCUGAAGGUGAUGGACAUGAGCAUCGGAUGCCCCACGACAACGGGAGGCGGAGCGAGACGCUGUCGGAGACGCCAUUUGCGACCCGGUUGUCUCCGGCGAACCAUCCUCUGGCCGAGGAGACAGGGGAGGAAACUCCUGGAUUUCACCGCGUUGCCGUUAAUUCAGCGGUUGAGAGCUGGGAAAAUGGUAACGGAGAGACCGACGAGCCGGCGGUUGACAGGCAGCCAGAUGAGCGUGCUAACGAAGAUGCGACCGAGCUGGGAGUGGAAACGGUGGCUGCUGCGGGAGAUGAGGUGGGGAAGGGAGAGUCUCGCGAAGCGGAGGAUGCGGAAGGGACCGAAAUGGAGAAACCGGCGGAGGAAUCGGUUGUUGCUGUCGAGCAGAGCGUGCUUACAACUGAAGAGGUGGAACAAGAAACAGAAGACCCAGUUGAGAUUCUGAAAGAAGCUCCGGUUGGGAUAUCCCAUAAAUGUGGAUUGAAGGUAGUGGCUCUGGCAGCGAAGGAUGAGAUCAAAGAAGAGCCAUCAUAUGAACGGGAAGCGAAGGUUGUGCCUCUGCCCGGUGAGGACGAGGUCAGAGAAGAGGAGGCAUCCUAUGAACGCGAAGUUAAGAUUGUGCCUCUACCAGAUGAGGAUGAGGUCAAAAAUCGGCCAUCCUAUGAAUGCGAAGUUAAGGUAGUGCCUCAGCCAGAUAAUAAUGAGACCAAAGAACUGCCAUGGCAUGAAAAUGGUGCGAUUGUAUUGCCUCUGACAGAUAAGGAUGAGGUUAAAGAACGGCCAUCUCAUAAACAUGAAGGGAAAGUAGCAGCUCUGAUAGAUGAGGAUAAGGUUAAAGAACAUCCACCCCAUCAAUGUGAAGUGAAGGUAGUGGCUCUGUCAGCGAAGGACGAGAUCAAAGAAGAGCCAUCAUACGAAUGGGAAGUGAAGAUUGUGCCUCUGCCAGGUGAGAAGGAGGUCAGAGAAGAGGCAUCGUAUGAACGCGAAGUUAAGGUUGUGCCUCUGCCAUCAUAUGAAUGCAAAGUGAAGGUAGUGCCUCGGCCAGAUAAGAAUGGGGUUAAAGAAUGGCCAUCCCAUGAACACGAUGCUCCACCAGAUAAGGAUGAGGUUAAAGAAUGGCCAUACCAUGAACGUGAAGGGAAAGUAGUGGCUCUGCCAGAUGAGGAUAAGGUUAAAGAACAGCCAUCCUAUGAACGUGAAGGGAAAGUAGUGGCUCUGCCAGAUGAGGAUGUAACUCGAGAACAGUUUUAUGCGAGUAGGGAAGCCAUCCAAGGUCCCGGACGAGCGGAGGCUAUACCAUAUACUGAGGUUGCACCGUGUUCCCCAUUGGUAGUGCAUCCUGCGAGGUGGUGGAAUUGCUGUGGACUUGUUGAUGUUCUUGUUGGUUCUGAAAGAUAAUCUCAGGAGGCCCUAAAGAAGAGACUUUCAAUGUACCUCAUUCUUGUAGACAGAUGUGAAGUUCCUUUUCAUUUUGGCCACCUUUGCAAAACUUUGGUGCUUUGCAUCCUUGAUGCUGAAAACUCGCAGUCUUAAUGCUGAGCUUGAGACCUUACAAAUUUCCAUAAAAUAACCCCUGACGAAGCAGGAAAUGAAGAUGUAGUAUGAUAAUUGAUAAAGAUUUGUAAUAGUAAGGCUAAUUGGUAUUAGUCAAAGGAAUUAUGAAGUUUUAGAUUUUUGAAUAAGCGAUGGUAAAAUUUUGUGAUUGCUAAUAUCUGUGGCAUGGUGGCUUCAGAGAUAUCCAGAAUGUGUAGCCCAGAAACAAAUAUUCUCCUUUUUACUCUUCCCAUUAGCUAAUUAUUGUGAAGUUCUCAAAUAUAUGAACCCGUAUAUAUGCAUUUUUGCAUUUGCUGUUAUGUGUUUUUGAUGUGUAAAUGUAUGCGUGCUUGUCAAUAU